CAGUCGCCGCGGGAAUACGUAGGUGGCAGGCGUUGUCCGGAAUUAUUGGGCGUAAAGGGCUCGCAGGCGGUUUCUUAAGUCUGAUGUGAAAGCCCCCGGCUCAACCGGGGAGGGUCAUUGGAAACUGGGAAACUUGAGUGCAGAAGAGGAGAGUGGAAUUCCACGUGUAGCGGUGAAAUGCGUAGAGAUGUGGAGGAACACCAGUGGCGAAGGCGACUCUCUGGUCUGUAACUGACGCUGAGGAGCGAAAGCGUGGGGAGUGAACAGGAUUAGAUACCCCAGUAGUCCCUGUCUCUUAUAC
rnacentral:rRNA from 1 species